UUUAUUAAAUAAAUGGGUAAGAGGGAGCACUUCAUCUGAAAGCACUACAUAAACGUGACUCUCUUCGAGACAAAAACAAACAGUUACGGAAAACAUCAAAAUAUGGAUUGGAACAAACAGUAUUACAAAUGCCAAAAACGGACUAAAUGGGUGGAAAUUAGCAGAAGUGUAAAGGACUUAAACCAUUUUCAAUUCUUCAACUCUAAAAAUUACAAUUUUAAAAAUGAGUUAAAAAUUGUAAAAUCAAUUCCGCGGCCGGUGUUUCAUACUACAAUUAAGUAUAAUAUUUUAUCGUAUAUAUUGACUAUACUUAUUUUCUCUAAUGGGAUUAACGGAAAAUUGUUCGAGGAUUUGUCCAAUAAAAUUCAACCGGAUUAUAAUGAUGUCCAAAAAUUCUUAUCAAUUGAUGUGCCGUCAUCAUUAAAUUCUCCAAGAUUACCUCGACAAGAUGUGAACUCUAUCCAUAUUAUUGGUGUACGUUUGGAAGGUGACACAGUAGAGGCCAUGAAUGGAGUACCAAGCGUUCUAAUUGAUAAGGACCAAGUAUUUCGCGUCUUUGGUAGCGGUUUACAAAAAAAUACUGUAAUUACUUUUACCAAUGAAGAAAACGAUUACGGUGGAUCGUGCUUAAAGCCAGCAACCGACCUGUUUUUUCCAUUAGAAGUUUCGAGUAAUGGCUAUUCAGCGACAUAUUCUGUAAAAUUUCCUUCUUCUAAAAAUGUAUUUUACGUUUGCGCAAAAAAUUCGGAGGAAAAAAGUACUCACAGCUCUGCUAAAACUACGGCUCCUUUUGCUCAUCAAGGAAAUUCAGAGUGGAUGAAAAUUAAAACUCAUGAACCAUUAUUACCAGUGUGGAUUGCAAUAAUUAUAAUUGUAACGUGUCUUUGCUUCUCUGCUUUAUUUUCUGGUCUUAACUUGGGCUUAAUGGCUAUGGACCGCACAGAAUUAAAGAUACUACGAAACACUGGUACCGAAAAAGAAAAGAAAUAUGCGUCAAAAAUUGCACCUGUUCGAGAUCAAGGCUGUUUGUUCAAGGCAUGGCUUGGCUAUUGGGGCAAAAACCAUAUUAAUAACAAAAACUGUAAUGGCUAUAACAGCACCUCUGUCAUACCCUAUUUCUCGUAUUCUCGAUAAGUUAUUAGGUGAAGAAAUUGGCAAUGUUUAUAACAGAGAACGUUUAAAAGAACUUGUUAGAGUUACCAACGAUGUAAAUGAUCUUGAUAAAAACGAGGUCAACAUCAUAUCUGGAGCUCUGGAAUUACGAAAAAAAACCGUCGCAGACGU
rnacentral:misc_RNA from 1 species